rnacentral:rRNA from 1 species
CCUACGGGCGGCAGCAGUGGGGAAUAUUGGGCAAUGGAGGCAACUCUGACCCAGCAACGCCGCGUGAAUGAUGAAGGUCUUCGGAUUGUAAAGUUCUGUGAUGGGGGAUGAAGACAAUGACGGUACUCCAAUAGCAAGCCACGGCUAACUACGUGCCAGCAGCCGCGGUAAUACGUAGGUGGCAAGCGUUAUCCGGAAUGACUGGGCGCAAAGGGUGCGUAGGUGGUUUAGUAAGUUGGCGGUGUAAUUCCGGGGCUCAACCUGGGCGCUACCGCCGAAACUAUUAGACUAGAGUGCAGGAGGGGGAGGUGGAAUUCCUAGUGUAGCGGUGAAAUGCGUAGAGAUGAGGAGGAACAUCAGGGGCGAAGGCGACUUACUGGAC